GAUUGCCUCAGUAACGGCGAGUGAAGCGGCAAAAGCUCAAAUUUUAAAGCUGGCACUUCCGGUGUCCGCGUUGUAAUUUUGUGAGGCAUCUCCGGGUAGGGCGCCGGCCUAAGUUCCUUGGAACAGGACGUCAUAGAGGGUGAGAAUCCCGUGCUUGGCUGGCUGUCCCCGUCCAUGUGAGGUGUCUUCGACGAGUCGAGUUGUUUGGGAAUGCAGCUCAAAAUGGGUGGUAAAUUUCAUCUAAAGCUAAAUAUUGGUGGGAGACCGAUAGCGCACAAGUAGAGUGAUCGAAAGAUGAAAAGCACUUUGAAAAUAGAGUUAAAAAGUACGUGAAAUUGUUGAAAGGGAAGCGCUUGAGACCAGACUUCGGUGGGGAGUGAUCAGCCGUCCUUCUGGGCGGUGCACUUGCUCCCCUCCGGGCCAGCAUCGGUUGGGACGGCGGGAUAAAGGUCCCGGGAAUGUGGCUCCUUUCGGGGAGUGUUAUAGCCCAGGUGAAUGCCGCCAGCCCCGACCGAGGACCGCGCCUUCGGGCUAGGAUG
rnacentral:rRNA from 1 species